rnacentral:rRNA from 1 species
GCCGCGUGAGGGACGAAGGCCUCUGGGCUGUAAACCUCUUUUCUCAAGGAAGAAGAUAUGACGGUACUUGAGGAAUAAGCCACGGCUAAUUCCGUGCCAGCAGCCGCGGUAAUACGGGAGUGGCAAGCGUUAUCCGGAAUUAUUGGGCGUAAAGCGUCCGCAGGCGGCUUUUCAAGUCUGCUGUUAAAGCGUGGAGCUUAACUCCAUCAUGGCAGUGGAAACUGAAAGGCUUGAGUAUGGUAGGGGCAGAGGGAAUUCCCGGUGUAGCGGUGAAAUGCGUAGAUAUCGGGAAGAACACCAGUGGCGAAGGCGCUCUGCUGGGCCAUUACUGACGCUCAUGGACGAAAGCCAGGGGAGCGAAAGGGAUUAGAUACCCCUGUAGUCCUGGCCGUAAACGAUGAACACUAGGUGUCGGGGGAAUCGACCCCUUCGGUGUCGUAGCUAACGCGUUAAGUGUUCCGCCUGGGGAGUACGCACGCAA